AGUCGACGAACUCUGGUAUUGAUUGGUGCUUGCAUCAUGAUUUACAUUUGAGUGAGUGGCGAACUGGUGAGUAACACGUGGGAAACCUGCCCAGAAGCGGGGGAUAACACCUGGAAACAGAUGCUAAUACCGCAUAACAACUUGGACCGCAUGGUCCGAGUUUGAAAGAUGGCUUCGGCUAUCACUUUUGGAUGGUCCCGCGGCGUAUUAGCUAGAUGGUGGGGUAACGGCUCACCAUGGCAAUGAUACGUAGCCGACCUGAGAGGGUAAUCGGCCACAUUGGGACUGAGACACGGCCCAAACUCCUACGGGAGGCAGCAGUAGGGAAUCUUCCACAAUGGACGAAAGUCUGAUGGAGCAACGCCGCGUGAGUGAAGAAGGGUUUCGGCUCGUAAAACUCUGUUGUUAAAGAAGAACAUAUCUGAGAGUAACUGUUCAGGUAUUGACGGUAUUUAACCAGAAAGCCACGGCUAACUACGUGCCAGCAGCCGCGGUAAUACGUAGGUGGCAAGCGUUGUCCGGAUUUAUUGGGCGUAAAGCGAGCGCAGGCGGUUUUUUAAGUCUGAUGUGAAAGCCUUCGGCUCAACCGAAGAAGUGCAUCGGAAACUGGGAAACUUGAGUGCAGAAGAGGACAGUGGAACUCCAUGUGUAGCGGUGAAAUGCGUAGAUAUAUGGAAGAACACCAGUGGCGAAGGCGGCUGUCUGGUCUGUAACUGACGCUGAGGCUCGAAAGUAUGGGUAGCAAACAGGAUUAGAUACCCUGGUAGUCCAUACCGUAAACGAUGAAUGCUAAGUGUUGGAGGGUUUCCGCCCUUCAGUGCUGCAGC
rnacentral:rRNA from 1 species